rnacentral:rRNA from 1 species
GACGAACGCUGGCGGCGUGCUUAUCACAUGCAAGUCGAACGAGGUCCACUGCGUAGCAAUACAAGGGAAGACCUAGUGGCGAACGGGUGCGUAACACGUGAGGAACUUGUCCCGGUCUCUGGGAUAACAGUUGGAAACGACUGCUAAUACCGGAUGACGUCGGAAUCUCGCAUGGGAUACUGACGAAAGGGUUACUGGAUCGGGAGAGCCUCGCGGCCUAUCAGCUUGUUGGUGAGGUAACGGCUCACCAAGGCAUCGACGGGUAGCUGGUCUGAGAGGAUGAUCAGCCACACUGGGACUGAGACACGGCCCAGACUCCUACGGGAGGCAGCAGUGGGGAAUCUUGCGCAAUGGGCGAAAGCCUGACGCAGCAACGCCGCGUGCGGGAAGAAGGCCCUCGGGUUGUAAACCGCUUUCAGUAGGAACGAAAUGACGGUACCUGCAGAAGAAGGUGCGGCCAACUACGUGCCAGCAGCCGCGGUAA